rnacentral:rRNA from 1 species
UCCUGACUGACCGAUAGUGAACCAGUACCGUGAGGGAAAGGCGAAAAGAACCCCGGCGAGGGGAGUGAAAAAGAACCUGAAACCGUGUACGUACAAGCAGUGGGAGCACGCUUAGGCGUGUGACUGCGUACCUUUUGUAUAAUGGGUCAGCGACUUAUAUUCUGUAGCAAGGUUAACCGAAUAGGGGAGCCGAAGGGAAACCGAGUCUUAACUGGGCGUUAAGUUGCAGGGUAUAGACCCGAAACCCGGUGAUCUAGCCAUGGGCAGGUUGAAGGUUGGGUAACACUAACUGGAGGACCGAACCGACUAAUGUUGAAAAAUUAGCGGAUGACUUGUGGCUGGGGGUGAAAGGCCAAUCAAACCGGGAGAUAGCUGGUUCUCCCCGAAAGCUAUUUAGGU